rnacentral:rRNA from 1 species
UACGUAGGGUGCAAGCGUUAUCCGGAAUUAUUGGGCGUAAAGAGCUCGUAGGCGGUCUGUCACGUCGGCUGUGAAAACCCGGGGCUCAACUCCGGGCCUGCAGUCGAUACGGGCAGGCUAGAGUUCGGUAGGGGAGACUGGAAUUCCUGGUGUAGCGGUGAAAUGCGCAGAUAUCAGGAGGAACACCGAUGGCGAAGGCAGGUCUCUGGGCCGAUACUGACGCUGAGGAGCGAAAGCGUGGGGAGCGAACAGG